GACGGGGGGGCAAGUGUUCUUCGGAAUGACUGGGCGUAAAGGGCACGUAGGCGGUGAAUCGGGUUGAAAGUGAAAGUCGCCAAAAAAGUGGCGGAAUGCUCUCGAAACCAAUUCACUUGAGUGAGACAGAGGAGAGUGGAAUUUCGUGUGUAGGGGUGAAAUCGUAGAUCUACGAAGGAACGCCAAAAGCGAAGGCAGCUCGCUGGGACGUCACUGACGCUGAGACGCGAAAGCGUGGGGAGCAACAGG
rnacentral:rRNA from 1 species